AACCUUAUGUGAAAUAUAAUUUAAGCAAAAGACAGAGAUCCCUGUGAGCACAGUUACGGUCAGGAACAUUACCAUCAGCUUUAGUAAUGCUACUCCAGAGAAGGACAGACUGUUUGCUGUGUAAUUUAGAUGAAGUUGAGAAUGAGGUUAAUUUUAUAUUUUACUGUCCUGUAUAUGAAGAUAUCAGGGAGGUACUUUUCAGGACGAUGUCUUCUGUUUAUUUUGGUUUCUUUUGGUUGCAUGACCAUGAAAAACUAGAGUUAUGUUUUAGAAGAGGAACCUUUUUCAUUGCAGAAUUUCUUUGCCAGGCCUGGGAUAAAAGGCAACAUAUUUAGUUUAAGGACUGAGCAGCAGAAUAAUGUGUGUUUCGGAUGUAUUGCUGCAAUGCUAGUACAUUGGUGUCCUGUAAACCCAUGAGGGGUGGGCACGGUUGUGUGCAAGACAUGAAAAUAAAUAAAUCAGUCAGUCAAUUAUAUUAAGGAAAUUAUUCCAUGUGAGCACUUUAUGACAUGGAACUGAAUGCCCUCAUGAAUGAACAUGUCUUAAAAAUAUUUUAUAAUCUUUUUUAGAUUGACAGGAACCUAGUGAGAACUGCUUUUUGAAAUAUUUAAUGCCUAGAAAUCCUACUGUGACAGUGAUAUUUACAAUAAACCUAAGUGGCUUAGUGCACAUUAAUAUGGACAUUUUUACCUGCAAAUUCACUGUUCCCUCUAAGCUGCGCGCGUGCGCGCACUGCUGACACGGUCUCCGCGCACAGAAAAUCUGCUGUGCACACAAAAAAAAUCCAACCUAAAUUGUAAAUAAAAUAAACACGUAACAAUUCAUUCUGUGCUAUUUUUCAGUGUGAGUCAGUGAGUGACCAGUGACUGGCUGCUGCAGCCAAUGAUGCGAUUCACAUACGUAUUUACCAUAGACUGUAUAUAAUGGUAUUUACGCAGCUAAUCAACGUCAUGCGUCCUUAUGUGUAGCCAGCGUUGUUCUCAUAGAUAUGAAUGAGUAGAUAGGACACGCCCCUUUGAGCUGCGUGCUACAGCGAGGCUAAGCUAGUGGGGGCAAAGUUUCAGUGCAUUCCGUUGAUGUAGACGGCGUGAAAACGGAAACAAGUAUGCCGGCUCACUGUGCUGCAUACAAUUACACACUGCGUCGUACGAUUGAGACAAGGAAACUUGGAAUGACUUUUCAUAGGUUUCCCAGAGACUAUGGGUUGAGGAGGAAUUGGAAGUUUGUCGGCUUAGACCUGGUGUCAUUCCAUCAGUGUUAAACUUCCCGGCUCAUCUUGGAAGAGUACGUGCCAGAAAGACCACGACCAAGCAGCCUUGAGAUCUUAGACAGCGUCUCCCUGAGACCAAAGAACUACAGACUCUUCACAACCUGCUCAAACUCUUGGUACAGGACCUCACCACACGGGUCAAGAAGGUUUCUGUCUCAUUUCUACUCUGAAGCUCACCUUCUCCUGCUCAAACUGCUGACAAAUGUUUCUGCUGCUCUAAAGUCUGGUCUCCAGAACUUCCUAAAAACUCUCAAAGUCUCUUCUGCUGCAGGUUGCUUUGUAGAACUGUUCCAGAAAACCUCACUAAACCACAUGGAGGGGCCUCAAGAUAGUCAUCCAAAUGAAACCGUACAAAAACCAAACUAGCACAACCCAAACGCUAAAGUCUCCUGCAGUCUACCAGAGAACCUCUGAGAACAGAGAAUCAGGACAGGAACUCCUACCUUCUGGACAACCAACGCUGGUUCACAAACAAGAAUACAGAAUGUGUCUGACCAAAAACCUCUGAAGACUCACUACAGCCAAGAUAAAGACACAACUCAGCUGUACCAAAUCCACUAAUCACUGCACACAUUAGCACCAUGUACUAACUGUGGCUAAAGAACCACAUUUACCAAGACAACUAUCCAGUACAAAGCCCUAAAACACACCAAGAAACACAUUAAAGUCUAUUUUACUGCUGGAAGCUGCAAGCCAACGCCUAACAAACUAAAGCAACGGAACCAAACCCAGUUCAGUGGAGAGAAGCAGAGGAAAUGUUUGUCUGCAACUAAAUAAAGCAGGAAGACACUGAGCUGCUCAGGUGUUCCUGAUAACACCAAGCAGCCACCUGGACAGCCAAUAGGAACACAGCUUACUGGAAGUCCAGAGGGCUGGCUUAGUGAAGGAAAUUUGAUUUAAAGUUGAAGCAGAAAGUUAACAAAGAAAGUUGAAAACCACCUUCUGAUACCUGAAAUCUCUGAGUUUUCACACAAAGAACACCUGAACAUGUCAAACUGGUUCCAUAGAAGAACCAUCAUUGUAAAAACGUCAUAGUAUGGUGUGUUGCUCAAAAAACAUUAAGACCUGGCUGUCAGGGGACAAACAUGUAAGAAACAUGAGAACAGAGAGAAUCCAACCAGUAGGUCACAGUUUAUCAUCCCCCAGUCUUCUCCUGAAGUCCAUAUGGUGAGAGACAUCAGUAUCUGGUUGUUCAUUUACCAGAGGAUGCUUAUAAUCAUGCUGAUGUGGUCUGUACUCUACAGUAUUUUAGUGACUCAAUAAAUGCCUAAGUUGUUUUUUUUUUAAUGCUUUUCAGUUUUUAAUAAACAUUUAAGAGCCUAUAUGUAAUCAAUAAAUGGCCUUUGCCUAUCUUAAGAAAAAUUCACUCAGAACUCUGAUAUGUUAACAGUACUAAAUAAAUCAAUAAAUACAUGCAUACACACAAAAAUAAGUUAAUACAUUAACUGUGUUAAGAUAAGAUUUAGAUUUUUAAAAAGUUGUUUAUGUUUUUUGCAGAAUCCAGUAUUGCUCACUGGUUGGUCAUUACAUUUUGUUAGUUUGAUUUCACUGUUUAAAAUGAUGCCACCUCUUUUCAGACAGAACCUGUGAUAAUAAAACAAUACAAUAUUUUUAGUUCCGUGUUAAUAAAGCACUUAAAGCUUUAAGUAUGGCUAAAUGCUUUUUUCAAAAUUAAAUAUAUCACUCCUUAGGUGGUAGUGGCCCCAAGUUCAGUAAAGUUGGAAAGAUAUUCACAGAUUCGGACUUCCAGCAUCAAUAACUCGUUAGAUAUAGGUUGUCAAAACAUAAACGGUGCCUCUUUCCCAUUGUUGCAAGGCAGACAAUGUGCUACAAGCCCAGUUUUAUCAAAAGUAGCUGUCUUUCAAGCUACAGGAAUAACAUUGGUGUCUAUGGAGUGAACAGGGUCCGUCUGCAAUUUGCAAAACCGCUGCAACAGUAAAGAGAGACAAAUAUUCAAUAACUUCACUCUUAUACAUUGUAGUGUCACUAAAAUCACUGCAGCCUUCAACUGGCUCCUGUUGACAAAGUGUUUUAACAGAAAUGUAAAUGCUGUAAUUUGAUUCUUUUAAUGAACCAUGUAACUUGAAUGGAUGUGAUGCUGGUGUGACCACAGUGCACACGUCUGAUGUUGCUCACAGUGGUCCAAGGGACGCUCAGGGAGUUUGUGUGUUUGCUCAGACUCAGGAAAAAUUACAGGGAACAU